GGGCGAUUAGCUCAGUUGGUAGAGCAUCUGACUUACAUUCAGAAGGUCAUAGGUUCGAUCCCUGUAUCGCCCACCA
rnacentral:tRNA from 1 species